UACGUAGGGUGCGAGCGUUGUCCGGAAUUAUUGGGCGUAAAGGGCUCGUAGGCGGUCCAUCGCGUCGGGAGUGAAAAGCUGGGGCUUAACCCCAGUCCUGCUUUCGAUACGGGUGGACUAGAGGUAGGCAGGGGAGAAUGGAAUUCCUGGUGUAGCGGUGAAAUGCGUAGAUAUCGGGAGGAACACCAGUGGCGAAGGCGGCUUCCUGGACCAGUACUGACGCUGAGGCGCGAAAGCUAGGGGAGCAAACAGG
rnacentral:rRNA from 1 species